rnacentral:rRNA from 1 species
AACGAACGCUGGCGGCAGGCUUAACACAUGCAAGUCGAACGCCCCGCAAGGGGAGUGGCAGACGGGUGAGUAACGCGUGGGAACAUACCCUUUCCUGCGGAAUAGCUCUGGGAAACUGGAAUUAAUACCGCAUACGCCCUACGGGGGAAAGAUUUAUCGGGGAAGGAUUGGCCCGCGUUGGAUUAGCUAGUUGGUGGGGUAAAGGCCUACCAAGGCGACGAUCCAUAGCUGGUCUGAGAGGAUGAUCAGCCACAUUGGGACUGAGACACGGCCCAAACUCCUACGGGAGGCGGCAGUGGGGAAUAUUGGACAAUGAGCGCAAGCCUGAUCCAGCCAUGCCGCGUGAGUGAUGAAGGCCUUAGGGUUGUAAAGCUCUUUCAGUGGGGACGAUAAUGACGGUACCCACAGAAGAAGCCCCGGCUAACUUCGUGCCAGCCGCCGCAGUAAAAC